AAUUUUGGACAAUGGGGGAAACCCUGAUCCAGCCUCCCCGCGUGUAUGAAGAAGGCCUUCGGGUUGUAAAUUACUUUUGGCAGAGAAGAAAAGGCAUCCCCUAAUACGGGAUGCUGCUGACGGUAUAUGCAGAUUAUGUACCGGCUAACGACGCGCCAGCAGCCGCGGUAAUAUGUAGGGUUAAAGCGUUAAUCGGAAUUACAGGGCGUAAAGCGUGUAUAGGCGGUUCGGAAAGGAAGAUGUGAAAGCCCAGGGCUCAACCUUGGAACUGCAUUUUUAACUAGCGAGCUAGAGUAUGUCAGAGGGGGGUAGAAGUCCACGUGUAGCAGUGAAAUGCGUAGAUAUGUGGAAGAAUACCGAUGGCGAAGGCAGCCCCCUGGGAUAAUACUGACGCUCAGACACGAAAGCGUAGGGAGCAAACAGG
rnacentral:rRNA from 1 species